GAUUGUUCUCUUGUCUUCUUCCCACUCUUUCAGACUGUGGACCUCUGCGUGGACUCAUAUCCUGAGCACUGCUAGUGCAGGACAUGGACAAAUAAUAGAAAGCGGUAUUGCUGGAUUUCACGAGGUCUCUCUUGGAGUGCUCUACCCCAGAAUACACCGAGUCCAGACUACCUGAUGUCGGUCAACAGCUUACAUUACCUUCCUUUGUCUGGCUUUGAAAAGAAGAUGUUUGUUACCAGAGAAAGACCGACCUCAACUACUGAUAUGAAGGACGGGGCCACGUGAGAUCAAAGUCAGCAUGCAGUGCUCAACAAGUGUCAAGCUGAUAGCUGCCCUUCACUUGGAUCCCUCUGAUAGUGUCAGAACCUGAUCACCAGUCGCUCCUUGCGCUACUGCUGGAGAAUGAAAAUUACAUUGAAGACAAAGGGGACCACAGCAAAGGAGAUCCCAAAGGUCUUAGGUGGUCGUCUGAGAGUUUCACUCCUCAUCUAGCCCUUUCUGUGAUGAAGAAUAAUAAGAGAGUAGACAAAGAGACACGGAUUAGUGACAGCGGAGCAACAAGACCCAACAAGUGUUACCAAAGGUAACUUGAAGAUGUUACUAGUGAUUCAACAUGAAGGAGGUUUAUUUUACUGUCAGCUUACCUUUACCGUAGUAUGUUGGCUUGGCACAAAUCAUUUGAAAUGCUUGAGUAUUAUUGUGUAAUUUGUGGGAUGAGAUGAAUCUAAAGAAUGUAGCAAUGAAUGAAUUUGGAGGAGAGCUAAAAUGUUUAAAAAACUGAGUUCUGUUGAAAUAAUUUAGUUAAAACAUUUAUUUUUCAAGAUAGAAGGUUAAAGUCAGGAUAAACCAAAAAUAAACAUGUCUUCUGAGUUUGUCACAACACAAACCAAUGUGUUAAUAACCGCCCAGCCACAUUUGAAUGAUUAUAAAAUCCGUUAAGUAUACAAAUUAGGUUUCAAAAUCAUAAAAAAGGCAGUGUGAUGGAUGAGGGUUGAUUUCAAAUGUACAGUUACUGUAAAUACCACAUAUUGUACAUCUCACUACUGCAUGCUACUUUUGCUGAAUGUUAACCACAUGUUCUAUGGGCAGAGCAGGGGCAACAGAGGCUUCCGGCUUGACUUUCUGAACGUUCUUGGACCAAAUUGCUAAAGUUCUGACACAUUUUGUGGAGGUUGUGACACAAUUUAUACUCCGUUUAACAGUGACAAUAGUAGCGAUGGAGCAGGCUACGGCGGAGCCUAUGACCUAAGCACAAAUUAAACCGGAACAGACAUGACCCACUGGAGUUUGUCCCGGUAUGUCAGAUGGCCAGUACACCACAGCUGUGGUAAGUAAUGGUAGUAACUGGAAAUUUGAUCAGCAGAAACGCUAAUGCUAUGUGUGUUUAGAAACAAACCUCAGAUUUCCCGGACUUUAACAAAAAUGUGGGUAAGUAUACCAACACUGCCACAACAUCAGCAUAUCCCACUCACUGCAUAAGGGCUAAUAAUACAGUUGGAACUGUCAACACUAAUUAUUACUAUUUAUCUAUAUAAAUUAUUUAGUUUACAUCCAUUUGAUUGGUUGAAUGUUUAUUGGUUUCUCUGCAUUCACAAAAAAACACUGAUAGUUAUUAUUAUAAAGAAUAUACUUUUUUUUUAAUUAACAAUUUGAAUCUUUUUGUAGUCAUAGUUGGCUUUUAAAUUACCAUGGUACCUUCUGUGUAACAAAAAAAGCAGUACUACUAACAUUAAAUUUCACUAAUACAACUAACUAAAUUAAUUCAAAGAAAUGUAAAUAAAAUUGAUCUAUACAAAAACUGGUUUGGCUUAUUUACUCCUUAAUAAUUCUAUUUAAAAUGAUGAACAUUUCUAUAAUUACUAAUUAAACGGGAUUAACACACAUCAAUGGAUUACAUUGAAAUGGUUAAUGGAUCAUUGAAUAGUAGUGUGCAGUAUUGUGAAGGCAGUAGGACAGUAUAUGAAGUGGAGAGGCUUCUUACCUUUGAGCCCACAUCACGACUUUUGGCACGCAGCUUGUUGACCUGAGACUCUGCGAUGUCAGCUCGUUCUUCAGCCUCGUCCAGCUCGUGCUGCAGUUUGCGGAACUUGCCCAGAUUAGUAUUGGCCUGCUCUUCCUACAGGAUUCAACAAAAACAAAAGGCCACAAUAUACUAUUACUGCAAGAAGCAAUGAACCUGGGGCCACAUGCUCUUCAGUUGUAAGGGUUUUCACAGCUUCAACAUUGUAGUUUACCAAUUAGGUCUAAAACAAGUCAUAGUGGAGACUGAGAUGUUUUCUGCCUCAAACUUAAAACUGCUGUUUUAAUAGUAUUUUAGCAACUACCAAAUGUAAUAAAUUGUACAAUAUAAAAAGACACAAUUGACAAAAGUGAAGUAGUUUUGAAUAAAUAAAGGAACAGUGUCGUGAGCACACAGCACAAAUAAAGGACAACUUUCCACACUUACAGCCUCCUCAGCAACUCUCUUAUAGGCUUUGACUUUCAGCUGCAGUUUGUCAACCAGAUCCUGCAGACGCACCAUAUUCUUGCGGUCCUCGUCAGUCUAAAUAAAUGGAGGGAAUAGGUAUAAGCCUCUCAAGUUUGAUAAGGAGAAUAUAGAGAAUAUUCAUAAAAAUGUGUUGAUCCAUUCAUAAAAAAACAAUCACCUGGUAUGUGAGCUCUUUAAUGCGUCUCUCAUAUUUACGGAUUCCCUUCACAGCUUCAGUGCUCUUCUUCUGCUCUGACUCCACCUCACUCUCCAGCUCUCUCACCUGAAAAACAUCAGAAAAUGACUUAUUGAAAAUGCACUGUUCCACAAGAAUAUAUUUUAACAUUUAACUCCCAAGAUAAUUAUCAGUCCACUCUGCGGCACAGCUGAGCUUUUUAACCAAUUUCAGCUCACCGUUUUUUUUACAUUCAAUGGCAUGGCACAGUCUCAAAGGUCUGAUACACUGUACACUACCUGCCCAUAAUCAAACAGCAGAAAGAAAGUUAGCGACAACCUGGUGAAGGAAUAUGAUUAUCUAGCAAACUGAAAAUAAGCAUUUUCCUUUUUCCAUUUGAAAGAUUCUGCAUGGUGGGAUGAUCAUGUUGUCUGCUUACGAGUUCAAACUGUGAUACUAAAGCUUCAUGAUUAUUAAAUGAAUGUUGGUCCAUAGACUGUAUAUAAGAAGUGGACGUAGUCACUGUGACUUCACCCAUUGGUUUGUGGACUAUUUCGAAGUCUCUAGUGGGGCAUGUUAGACGCCACCAUCUUGGAUUUUGGCCGACGGCAUGUUGUUUUUUUGCAGUGACACAAGAGGGUGGAGCUAAGUACAACC